AUUGAACGCUGGCGGCAGGCCUAACACAUGCAAGUCGAACGAGUGGCGGACGGGUGAGUAAUGUCUGGGAAACUGCCCGAUGGAGGGGGAUAACUACUGGAAACGGUAGCUAAUACCGCAUACCAUAGGAUGAGCCCAAGUGGGAUUAGGUAGUUGGUGAGGUAAAGGCUCACCAAGCCGACGAUCUCUAGCUGGUCUGAGAGGAUGACCAGCCACACUGGGACUGAGACACGGCCCAGACUCCUACGGGAGGCAGCAGUGGGGAAUAUUGCGCAAUGGGGGCAACCCUGACGCAGCCAUGCCGCGUGAAUGAAGAAGGCCUUCGGGUUGUAAAGUUCUUUCGGUAGCGAGGCGUUAACUACAGAAGAAGCACCGGCUAACUCCGUGCCAGCAGCCGCGGUAAUAC
rnacentral:rRNA from 1 species